rnacentral:sRNA from 1 species
AAAAAGGGUAAACAUAGAUUGUGAUUGUGAAUUUAGGAUAACCUCAUAAUUUUAUGAUUUUGUAAGAAUUAUAGAGAACGACAAUGAUUUUGAAAGAGAGAUUGAAAAUGAUGAAAAACAAAAGAAUAUGGAAGAUAGAGAUGAUAAAAGGGGGAUAGUUUUUUACCCACACGAUCUCAUCAAAAAUAAGUUUACUAAUUAUUGCGUCAUCACUACUUCAGGGGUAAAUUAGUCCAAUUUCUCCUCAAAAAGAUGGCACAGUGCCUCAUCCCUGAAAAGUGCCUUAAAAGGAAUAAAAUUCUUUAAAAGUGCCUAAACGUGUCACAUUCCCUUUAUAUAAUAUUGAAUUGAUAUUUUAGCUCAGAACCGGUAAAACAAAUAUAUAUAUAUAUAUAUAUAUAUUGUCUAAAAGUAAGUAUUAUAAUUUUAUAAGAUUUGUUAUAGUUUGAAAUUAUUUUAGAAUAAAAUUAAUUGAUAUUUUGGCGCAAAAAGUAUUAUAUUAAUAUUCUAUUCUUCAAUUCUUGACAAAUUAUUAUUUGAGAAAUUAUAUUGUAUGGUAAUUAUAUAAACUAU